AACGGGUGAGUAACCGUGAGCAACCUGCCCCUGACUCUGGGAUAAGCGCUGGAAACGGCGUCUAAUACUGGAUAUGUGACGUGACCGCAUGGUCUGCGUCUGGAAAGAAUUUCGGUUGGGGAUGGGCUCGCGGCCUAUCAGCUUGUUGGUGAGGUAAUGGCUCACCAAGGCGUCGACGGGUAGCCGGCCUGAGAGGGUGACCGGCCACACUGGGACUGAGACACGGCCCAGACUCCUACGGGAGGCAGCAGUGGGGAAUAUUGCACAAUGGGCGCAAGCCUGAUGCAGCAACGCCGCGUGAGGGACGACGGCCUUCGGGUUGUAAACCUCUUUUAGCAGGGAAGAAGCGAAAGUGACGGUACCUGCAGAAAAAGCGCCGGCUAACUACGUGCCAGCAGCCGCGGUAAUACGUAGGGCGCAAGCGUUAUCCGGAAUUAUUGGGCGUAAAGAGCUCGUAGGCGGUUUGUCGCGUCUGCUGUGAAAUCCGGAGGCUCAACCUCCGGCCUGCAGUGGGUACGGGCAGACUAGAGUGCGGUAGGGGAGAUUGGAAUUCCUGGUGUAGCGGUGGAAUGCGCAGAUAUCAGGAGGAACACCGAUGGCGAAGGCAGAUCUCUGGGCCGUAACUGACGCUGAGGAGCGAAAGGGUGGGGAGCAAACAGGCUUAGAUACCCUGGUAGUCCACCCCGUAUACGUUGGGAACUAGUUGUGGGGUCCAUUCCACGGAUUCCGUGACGCAGCUAACGCAUUAAGUUCCCCGCCUGGGGAGUACGG
rnacentral:rRNA from 1 species